GAAAUGCGAUAACUAAUGUGAAUUGCAGAAUUCAGUGAAUCAUCGAGUCUUUGAACGCACAUUGCGCCCCCUGGUAUUCCGGGGGGCAUGCCUGUCCGAGCGUCAUUGCUGCCCUCAAGCCCAGCUUGUGUGUUGGGCCCUCGUCCCCCGGCUCCCGGGGGACGGGCCCGAAAGGCAGCGGCGGCACCGCGUCCGGUCCUCGAGCGUAUGGGGCUUCGUCUUCCGCUCCGUAGGCCCGGCCGGCGCCCGCCGACGCAUUUAUUUGCAACUUGUUUUUUUCCAGGUUGACCUCGGAUCAGGUAGGGAUACCCGCUGAACUUAAGC
rnacentral:misc_RNA from 1 species